rnacentral:rRNA from 1 species
UACGUAGGGGGCAAGCGUUGUCCGGAUUUAUUGGACGUAAAGAGCGUGUAGGCGGUUAGGUAGGUCCGUUGUGAAAACUCGAGGCUCAACCUCGAGACGCCGAUGGAAACCAUCUGACUAGAGUCCGGAAGAGGAGAGUGGAAUUCCUGGUGUAGCGGUGAAAUGCGCAGAUAUCAGGAAGAACACCCGUGGCUAAGGCGGCUCUCUGGUACGUGACUGACGCUGAGACGCGAAAGCGUGGGGAGCGAACAGG